UUAAGCGACUAAGCGUACACGGUGGAUGCCUAGGCAGUCAGAGGCGAUGAAGGGCGUGCUAAUCUGCGAAAAGCGUCGGUAAGCUGAUAUGAAGCGUUAUAACCGACGAUACCCGAAUGGGGAAACCCAGUGCAAUACGUUGCACUAUCGUUAGAUGAAUACAUAGUCUAACGAGGCGAACCGGGGGAACUGAAACAUCUAAGUACCCCGAGGAAAAGAAAUCAACCGAGAUUCCCCCAGUAGCGGCGAGCGAACGGGGAGGAGCCCAGAGUCUGAAUCAGUUUGUGUGUUAGUGGAAGCGUCUGGAAAGUCGCACGGUACAGGGUGAUAGUCCCGUACACCAAAAUGCACAGGCUGUGAACUCGAUGAGUAGGGCGGGACACGUGACAUCCUGUCUGAAUAUGGGGGGACCAUCCUCCAAGGCUAAAUACUCCUGACUGACCGAUAGUGAACCAGUACCGUGAGGGAAAGGCGAAAAGAACCCCGGCGAGGGGAGUGAAAUAGAACCUGAAACCGUGUACGUACAAGCAGUGGGAGCACCUUCGUGGUGUGACUGCGUACCUUUUGUAUAAUGGGUCAGCGACUUAUAUUUUGUAGCAAGGUUAACCGAAUAGGGGAGCCGUAGGGAAACCGAGUCUUAACUGGGCGUCUAGUUGCAAGGUAUAGACCCGAAACCCGGUGAUCUAGCCAUGGGCAGGUUGAAGGUUGGGUAACACUAACUGGAGGACCGAACCGACUAAUGUUGAAAAAUUAGCGGAUGACUUGUGGCUGGGGGUGAAAGGCCAAUCAAACCGGGAGAUAGCUGGUUCUCCCCGAAAGCUAUUUAGGUAGCGCCUCGUGAACUCAUCUUCGGGGUAGAGCACUGUUUCGGCUAGGGGCCAUCCCGGCUUACCAAACCGAUGCAAACUCCGAAUACCGAAGAAUGUUAUCACGGGAGACACACGGCGGGUGCUAACGUCCGUCGUGAAGAGGGAAACAACCCAGACCGCCAGCUAAGGUCCCAAAGUCAUGGUUAAGUGGGAAACGAUGUGGGAAGGCACAGACAGCCAGGAUGUUGGCUUAGAAGCAGCCAUCAUUUAAAGAAAGCGUAAUAGCUCACUGGUCGAGUCGGCCUGCGCGGAAGAUGUAACGGGGCUAAACCAUGCACCGAAGCUGCGGCAGCGACACUUAGGUGUUGUUGGGUAGGGGAGCGUUCUGUAAGCCGUUGAAGGUGACCUGUGAGGGUUGCUGGAGGUAUCAGAAGUGCGAAUGCUGACAUAAGUAACGAUAAUGCGGGUGAAAAACCCGCACGCCGGAAGACCAAGGGUUCCUGUCCAACGUUAAUCGGGGCAGGGUGAGUCGACCCCUAAGGCGAGGCUGAAAAGCGUAGUCGAUGGGAAACAGGUUAAUAUUCCUGUACUUGGUGUUACUGCGAAGGGGGGACGGAGAAGGCUAGGCUGGCCGGGCGACGGUUGUCCCGGUUUAAGCGUGUAGGGGGAGUGACCAGGUAAAUCCGGUUGCUUAUCAACCCUGAGGCGUGAUGACGAUGCACCACGGUGCAGAAGCAGUUGAUGCCAUGCUUCCAGGAAAAGCCUCUAAGCAUCAGGUAACAUUAAAUCGUACCCCAAACCGACACAGGUGGUCAGGUAGAGAAUACUCAGGCGCUUGAGAGAACUCGGGUGAAGGAACUAGGCAAAAUGGUGCCGUAACUUCGGGAGAAGGCACGCUGGCGUUAGGUGAAAGGACUAGCUCCUGGAGCUGAAGCCAGUCGCAGAUACCAGCUGGCUGCAACUGUUUAAUAAAAACACAGCACUGUGCAAACACGAAAGUGGACGUAUACGGUGUGACGCCUGCCCGGUGCUGGAAGGUUAAUUGAUGGGGUCAGCCGCAAGGCGAAGCUCUUGAUCGAAGCCCCAGUAAACGGCGGCCGUAACUAUAACGGUCCUAAGGUAGCGAAAUUCCUUGUCGGGUAAGUUCCGACCUGCACGAAUGGCGUAAUGAUGGCCAGGCUGUCUCCACCCGAGACUCAGUGAAAUUGAACUCGCUGUGAAGAUGCAGUGUACCCGCGGCAAGACGGAAAGACCCCGUGAACCUUUACUAUAGCUUGACACUGAACAUUGAGCCUUGAUGUGUAGGAUAGGUGGGAGGCCUUGAAGUGUGGACGCCAGUCUGCAUGGAGCCAACCUUGAAAUACCACCCUUUAAUGUUUGAUGUUCUAACUCGGCCCCAUGAUCUGGGGUGAGGACAGUGUCUGGUGGGUAGUUUGACUGGGGCGGUCUCCUCCCAAAGAGUAACGGAGGAGCACGAAGGUUAGCUAAUCACGGUCGGACAUCGUGAGGUUAGUGCAAAGGCAUAAGCUAGCUUGACUGCGAGAGUGACGGCUCGAGCAGGUACGAAAGUAGGUCUUAGUGAUCCGGUGGUUCUGAAUGGAAGGGCCAUCGCUCAACGGAUAAAAGGUACUCCGGGGAUAACAGGCUGAUACCGCCCAAGAGUUCAUAUCGACGGCGGUGUUUGGCACCUCGAUGUCGGCUCAUCACAUCCUGGGGCUGAAGUAGGUCCCAAGGGUAUGGCUGUUCGCCAUUUAAAGUGGUACGCGAGCUGGGUUUAGAACGUCGUGAGACAGUUCGGUCCCUAUCUGCCGUGGGCGUUGGAAGAUUGAGAGGGGCUGCUCCUAGUACGAGAGGACCGGAGUGGACGAAUCACUGGUGUUCGGGUUGUCAUGCCAAUGGCAUUGCCCGGUAGCUAAAUUCGGAAGAGAUAACCGCUGAAAGCAUCUAAGCGGGAAACUUGCCUCGAGAUGAGUCUUCCCUGGGGCUUAAAGCCCCCUGAAGGAACGUUAAAGACUAUGACGUUGAUAGGCUGGGUGUGUAAGUGCAGCGAUGUAUUGAGCUAACCAGUACUAAUGAUCCGUGAGGCUUAACCUU
rnacentral:rRNA from 1 species